UGGCCUGGUGGCGCAACGGCAGCGCGUCUGACUCCAGAUCAGAAGGUUGCGUGUUCAAAUCACGUCCGGUCAU
rnacentral:tRNA from 1 species